rnacentral:rRNA from 1 species
GUUUCCUACGGGAGGCAGCAGUGGGGGAUAUUGCACAAUGGGGGGAACCCUGAUGCAGCGACGCCGCGUGGGUGAAGGAGCGUUUCGGCGCGUAAAGCCCUAUCGGCAGGGAAGAAGAUGACGGUACCUGACCAAGAAGCCCCGGCUAACUACGUGCCAGCAGCCGCGGUAAUACGUAGGGGGCAAGCGUUAUCCGGAUUUACUGGGUGUAAAGGGGGCGCAGACGGCAAUGCAAGCCAGGAGUGAAAGCCCGGGGCCCAACCCCGGGACUGCUCUGGAAACUAUUGAACUUGAGUGCAGGAGAG